rnacentral:snRNA from 1 species
GUGCUUGCUUUGGCAGCACAUAUGCUAAAAUUGGAAUGAUACAGAGAUUAGCAUGGCCCCUGCCCUAGGAUGACACGCAAAUUCGUGAAGUGUUGCAUAUUUUU